AACGCACAUUGCGCCCCUUGGUAUUCCGAGGGGCAUGCCUGUUCGAGCGUCAUUACAACCCUCAAGCUUAGCUUGGUAUUGGGCUCUGCCACUCACCUGGCAGGCCUUAAAAUCAGUGGCGGUGCCUCCGUGGCCCUGAGCGUAGUAAAUAUCCUCGCUAUAGGGACUCGGUGGUACUGGCCAACAACCCCCAACUUUCUAAGUUUGACCUCGGAUCAGGUAGGGAUACCCGCUGAACUUAA
rnacentral:misc_RNA from 3 species